ACCACCUUUUUUUUUUAUUAUACAUGUAUAUAUAUGACGGAUAGAGAAGCAGAUACCCCUUCAUUUGGAGGGGAGGGGGUGUUAUAAUUAUGUGAUAUUGACCUGGAAUUUGUACCAGACCGGUAUGUGAAAUAAAAUUCACUUGUUUAGAGGUAAUAUUUCAUAUUUCUUUAAUGGUAAAUAGCGAAAUAUUUUGUAACACCAAAUUGAGGCAAUAAUAAAAUGUAUUGAGAUCAAGAGAUCAAAACCCCCAAAAAAUACUUUGUUGGGGCACUGCAUUGGAGAUGUGGGUGCCCUAUAGUAAUCAUGGUGGCCGUCAGUCUAUCCAUUUACACUUUCGUUUCCGGAAUCCAAAUUUUUUAAAGGACUAAUCGUUUUGAAAUUUAACAUUUUUUAAUUAUUUAUUGUGAUACGUACAUGAAGAUGUGCAAUAGGGGUUUAAAAUGUUCUAAGGUCAAAGUCAAGGUCACUGUUACUAAAAAUAGACCAUGGGUGUUAUAUACUGUCCUUAUCGCAGAUUCCAGAAUGCUAAUCUUUUUUAAAUUAAACAAGGUCAUAGAGUGUGAUAAGCAGAUGUGUAAUAAAUGUUUAAAAAGUUUCUUAGGUCAAGGUCAUCAUUAUUAGAAAUAGACCAUGAUGGUUUAUAGUCAAGCACAUGGUGGGGAAAAUCAUGGAGAAGAAAAGAAAAAGUGUGAGUAUAAAUAUACUAAUUUUAUAAUGCAGCUGCCUAGGAAUACGUGUCACCAUAUGAAUCAACUUUGAUAUUGUUUAUGAUUAUACAGAGUGUUCUACCACGGGCAGAGAGUCCAGGCCAAAUAAAGGAAAUAAAGCAGUCGUUAGGAAAGAAGAAAAAACAAUCUACUUCCACAAUCCAAGUUGGCUGGAUGCAUUUUUUUUAUGGGGAACGUCGCUAUGCCCAGGUGAAAAGCAGUAGGGGUUGCACAACUGGAGGAACAGGAACAUUGUCACUUCCAUCAGAUAGUACCUAUGGCCUAACACUGAACAAGUUAGAGGAGAGGUAUUUUCCAAAUGAAAAGAAUUCAAAGGGAAAAUAAGGAGAAUGGAAACAAAACUUGGCACCAGCAAAGGAGAGGAGAUCCUGGAAACAAGCUUCCCUCUUGAUAACUAUCUGACAAAUGUUGCGUGUACACAAAAACCACGCAUAGAUUUGCUAACAAAGCAAAAGGUAUGUACAAAAACAAUUACAUUUUACACAGGUGGGAUUAAUUAUCAGCCAACUCAUAAUAGUUGCAAAUCAAUGACUAAAUUCAGUGACAAAUGAACAUAUACCGGAUAUGAUAAAUGGUUUUUAUCAAAACUUGAUUGACUGCUAGGAAAGAGUUAUCAUUUUAAAAUGAAAAGUGCUGUAUUUUUUUAUUUAUUUUUUUGUAUCUUGCUCUUUUGUUUUUAAAUAGUUAUGAACUUUGGCUUUUUGCAAACAUCUUAAUUCAAAAAUUCUUUGGUCUCCCUAUGUAAAUCAUAUCAUUAAAAGCACAUAUAUUUUUUAUAGGUUUAUAUGGGUUUGCAAGGCUAUAAUAGAGAGUACUUUGUGAAUUCAAAACUUUCAAGCAAUUAACAUUUCGAACAUACAUAACAUACUAGUACUUCAGGCAAAUUAUUUGCAAACAUUGAUAACCUUUCAACAACAGAUGGUUAUGAAUCUCAAUUAAAUUUUUACACAAUUUUAAUUUUGUAAAUGUUUAUUGAACAAAUAUGCAUACCAUUUUUAUGGUUAUCAAUUCUAUGUGCAACAUACAUUAAGUUACAAAAAUGAAGUACAUGUAUUCAAUUACAACUGAUCAAUUUUAAUAUAAAAAUCAUUGCAUAUUUUGUUUGUUUGUUUUUGACAUUGAGGGCCUCGAGACUGGAUCAUCGGAUUUUGAUGGAUUUGAUUUGCCUGAUCCAUUUGUGGAAUACAGUCAUGUAGCUACGUCGACCUCCACAAAUGUCUUCACUAUGGGCAACGUAACUACACCAGCAUCACAAGUACCGGUAACACCAACCACAACAAUGCCUGUCGUGACACCACCAGUAAGGCCCAUCACAACAAUUUAACUCCUAUCUCUACAAUGUCGGCCCUAACAGUCCCAACAAUACCAGUACAUGUACAGACACCAGCACCAACCUAUGGGCCAAUGCUGGGACAUCAACAGUCUCAAUGAGACUUCCAACAGAUGGGGAUUGUGGAAUCUGCACUGAUAGACAACGGAGUGCCUUCUUGGUGCCAUGACGGCACACGUUUUGCAUGGUAUGUGCAUUGCACCUGGAAUCUACCAGCAGAUUGUGUGCUAUCUGCAGAACAGUUAUUACUAAAGUCAAUCCUUUAUACAACUAACAGUUCUUUGGACAAAAUAACUGUAUGCCUUUUUUGAUUGCAUAAAUUGAAAUGAUACUAAUAGCUACUAGUGACGGGUACAGGCCAGUACUGCACUUACACAAGCUAGGUUGAACGCUUUUUCAGUGAAAUAACUAUUUCUCCUUAUGUUUGAGAGCACUGCUGAUAGCAUCAAUAAGUUUACAUUAUCUCAAUCUGUAUGAAUGGAAAUGGGUAAUAAUGGCACCCAAAUGACAACAGAUGGCCCCGAUUGACUUCUGCAAUGCAUGAGGCGAUUUAACUUCCUGAACAAUGUCUAGUUCGUAAAAUACAAUUUGAACUGUGAACCUUCGAUUUUUAUGCUUGCGAACAUAUUCUAUUAAUUCAGAUCUGGAUUACAUGAUGAUGACUAUAACUCUCAAAAGGCAUAAUUUGAUACACCUGUAAUGGAAAUUUAACGGAAGUGGUGAAUACGUAUUUUUCUAAUGUGAUUGUCUCCAUAUGUUAACAAAAGUAUUACUUUACAUUUCAUUCAUUAACGAAUUUGGGGAACGUGCUGUAUUAAUGUUUUUCAUAAUUUCAUACAUAUAUUAGGGCCCUGCAUCAGAGAUGCGGUUGUCCUAUAGUAAUCGGGUAAACCAGUCCGUCCAGCUUUCCAUCUGAUUUUUUGCGUUUGCAGAAUAUUGAUGGAAAUAAAUGAUCUUUUUUAAAUUAAACACAAUGAUUUCCCUUUGACCUUAGUUCUGCUUGGUAAGUUUUUGGUCUGAUUGGAUUUUAAUCAGCCAUCUUAGAUUUUAGCAUAAACAUUUUCAAAUGUUGUUUCUCUUAACUGGUAAACAUUUUGUUAUGAUAUUAUGAAGCAAAAUUGGUCAAAAUCAAAGAAGAAGUCAAAUGAUCAAGGGUCAUGGUCAUUAUAUCAAAGGUCAAGGUCAUUUUUUAUCGCUUAGCUAGUAAACAUUUUGUUUUGUUACACCUCAAGUGAA